AUCGCUUCUUGGCCUUUUGGCUAAGAUCAAGUGUAGAUAAAUUCAAUAAUAGCUUAUUUUUAAAUUCCCAUUAAUGGGAUCAAAAUCAUU
ensembl:snRNA U2 U2 spliceosomal RNA